UUGAAAUCACCUCCAAUUAGCCAUGGUCCAUUCAUUCCACCACAUAAUUGAUAUAAAUCAUCCCUAAAAUCUAAUCUUUGGAUACUAUCACACUUAGUAUAUACAAAUGUUGCAUAAAAGCUAAAUCUUGAAUUAUGAUCAAGCAUUAGAACAGUGAGUUGCUGCUCUCUGUUUUUUUACUACUGCAACAUCAUAACCAUGAUUAUCAAACACCCUUAUAUUUCCACUGAUAUUGUGAGUUACCAUAGGCAUUCUUAAUCUCCUUCUAUAUCUAUUGAGGGAUCUAACCGACUGAAAAGGCUCCAUCAGAGAAACAAAUGCAAACUUAUGAAAGUUAUGCAACAUUUAUACUCUUUGAAAUGCAUGUUGAGACCUUACUGACCUAAUAUUUCAAAUUAGAGCCUUCACUGAUGUUUGGAAUAUUGGGAUAUAACCUGUCUCUUUGGUUGGACUCGAAGAGGGUAGACUCAGUAUUAUCACUUUCUACAAAGUUAUGGAUUGUAUGCGUAGAAGACAGUUGAGCAUCACUUUGCAAGACUGAUCCAAAUGCUUUUGUGAUCCACUCCUUGGUUGAUAUUAUCACUCCUUUCCCUUUAUCUUGAGAGUCAGGUUCCCUUUAUUACUAAUAACAUUAAUUUCUAUAUUUUGAGACUUUGAUGUACUGAUGCCUUCCAGAGUGUUUUUCUCUUGGGCAUGAGCAUCAAACUUGUUCUCCACUACAAGUAGUUAUCUGAGGGGCUGUAUUUGUGUUCCCCCUUUUUAUUCCUUACCACAUUCCAAUUACCAGGGUCUUGCACUACUUUCCGACUUGAAAGUAUUCUUGCUCCUCCUUUUUGCAGUUUUUGAAUCUUAGCAGCUUGCGGCUCGUGUUUGAGUUGUGCUAUGUCUUGUAUAUAUUGAGCAUUUUGCUCUACAUUAUUCCUAAAAUUGACCACUUUACAA